rnacentral:rRNA from 1 species
GAUAGUCCCGUAUACGAAAUAAUCACAGUGGAACUAAGCAUACGAACAAGUAGGACGGGGCACGUGGAACCUUGUCUGAAUAUGGGGGGACCAUCCUCCAAGGCUAAAUACUCCUGAAUGACCGAUAGUGAACUAGUACCGUGAGGGAAAGGUGAAAAGAACCCUUAUAAAGGGAGUGAAAUAGAAUCUGAAACCGCUUGCAUACAAGCAGUAGGAGCAUGAUUUAGUCAUGUGACUGCGUACCUUUUGUAUAAUGGGUCAGCGAGUUAUUUUUAGUGGCGAGGAUAACUGAAUAAGGGAUCCGUAGCGAAAGCGAGUUUUAAUAGGGCGACUAGUCGCUAGGAGUAGACCCGAAACCGGCGCGAUCUAUCCAUGGCCAGGUUGAAGAUUAGGUAGUACUAAUUGGAGGACCGAACCCAAUACUGUUGCAAAAGUAUGGGAUGAGCUGUGGAUCGGAGUGAAAGGCUAAUCAAGCACGGAGAUAGCUGGUUCUCCCCGAAAACUAUUUAGGUAGUGCCUCGUGUAUAACUCAUUGGGGUAAAGCACUGUUUCGACAAUGGGGGUUUUACGACCUUACUGACUCGAUGCAAACUCAGAAUACGAUGAAGUUCGAUCACGGGAGACACACUGCGGGUGCUAAGGUCCGCAGUGGAAAGGGAAACAGCCCAGACCGCCAACUAAGGUCCCAAAGUCAUAGCUAAGUGGGAAACGAAGUGGGAAGGCCCAGACAGCCAGGAGGUUGGCUUAGAAGCAGCCACCCUUUAAAGAAAGCGUAAUAGCUCACUGGUCGAGUCGGCCUGCACGUAAGAUUUAACGGGGCUAAGCUAUGCACUGAAGUUGCGGAAUAUAUUUAGUAUAUUGGUAGGGGAGCGUUCUGUAAGCCGAUGAAGGUGAAUUGAGAAGUUUGCUGGAGGUAUCAGAAGUGCGAAUGCUGACAUGAGUAACGUAAAAUAAGUGAGAUUCUUAUUGGCCGAAAACCCAAGGGUUCCUACGCAAUGUUAAUCAACGUAGGGUAAGCCGGCCCCUAAGGCGUAGCUGAAGAGUGAAGUCGAUGGGAAACAGGUUAAUAUUCCUGUGCUGCUUAUAUGAACGAAGGAGGGACGGAGAAGGUUAGGUAGGCCUGGCGAAUGGUUGUCCAGGUGAAAGUAUGUAGGUAGGAAUGCUAGGCAAAUCCGGUGUUCUGUUGAUCUGAGAUACGAGACGAAGUUAAACUUGUUUGACGAAGCUAUUGAUACCAUGCUUCCAGGAAAAGCUUCUAAGUAUAUUGUAUAAGUGACCGUACUGUAAACCGACACUGGUGGGUAGGUAGAGAAUACUAAGGCUAUGAGAUAACUCUGGUGAAGGAACUAGGCAAAAUGACACCGUAACUUUGGAAGAAGGUGUGCCCUUGAUGGUGAUGAGACUUGCUCUUUGAGCUGUUGGGGGUUGCAGAUACCAGGUGGCUGCGACUGUUUAUCAAAAACACAGCACUCUGCGAAAUCGUAAGAUGAAGUAUAGGGUGUGACGCCUGCCCGGUGCUGGAAGGUUAAUUGAAGGGGUUAGCGCAAGCGAAGCUCUGGAUCGAAGCCCCAGUAAACGGCGGCCGUAACUAUAACGGUCCUAAGGUAGCGAAAUUCCUUGUCGGGUAAGUUCCGACCUGCACGAAUGGCGUAACGAUGGCCACACUGUCUCCACCAGAGACUCAGUGAAAUUGAAAUCGCUGUGAAGAUGCAGUGUACCCGCGGUUAGACGGAAAGACCCCGUGAACCUUUACUAUAGCUUUGCACUGGACUUUGAAUAUUUAUGUGUAGGAUAGGUGGGAGACCAUGAAGCAGCUACGCCAGUAGUUGUGGAGUCGUCCUUGAAAUACCACCCUUGAAUAUUUGAAGUUCUAACUCAGGAGAGAUUCGAGGACAGUGUAUGGUGGGUAGUUUGACUGGGGCGGUCUCCUCCUAAAGAG